CAGUCGCCACGGGAAAACGGAGGGUGCAAGCGUUAACCGGAAUUACUGGGCGUAAAGCGUGCGUAGGCGGUUCGCUAAGUCUGUUGUGAAAGCCCCGGGCUCAACCUGGGAAUGGCAAUGGAUACUGGCGAGCUAGAGUGUGUCAGAGGAUGGUGGAAUUCCCGGUGUAGCGGUGAAAUGCGUAGAGAUCGGGAGGAACAUCAGUGGCGAAGGCGGCCAUCUGGGACAACACUGACGCUGAGGCACGAAAGCGUGGGGAGCAAACAGGAUUAGAUACCCCAGUAGUCCCUGUCUCUUAUAA
rnacentral:rRNA from 1 species